AAAGAGUAAAUCGAUUAAAACUUUCAACAACGGAUCUCUUGGUUCUGGCAUCGAUGAAGAACGCRGCGAAAUGCGAUAAGUAAUGUGRAUUGCAGAAUUCRGUGAAUCAUCGAAUCUUUGAACGCACAUUGCGCCCUUUGGUAUUCCGAGGGGCAUGCCCGUUCGAGCGUCAUUA
rnacentral:rRNA from 1 species